rnacentral:rRNA from 1 species
CUCCUACGGGACGCAGCAGUGGGGAAUAUUGCACAAUGGGGGAAACCCUGAUGCAGCAACGCCGCGUGGGUGAAGGAGCGUUUCGGCGCGUAAAGCCCUGUCAGCGGGGAAGAAGAAAGACGGUACCCGACCAAGAAGCCCCGGCUAACUACGUGCCAGCAGCCGCGGUAAUACGUAGGGGGCAAGCGUUAUCCGGAUUUACUGGGUGUAAAGGGAGCGUAGACGGCUGUGCAAGCCAGAUGUGAAAGCCCGGGGCUCAACCCCGGGACUGCAUUUGGAACUGUGUGGCUGGAGUGUCGGAGAGG